CGGUAGCUAAAUGCGGAAGAGAUAAGUGCUGAAAGCAUCUAAGCACGAAACUUGCCCCGAGAUGAGUUCUCCCUGACCCUUUAAGGGUCCUGAAGGAACGUUGAAGACGACGACGUUGAUAGGCCGGAUGUGUAAGCGCAGCGAUGCGUUGAGCUAACCGGUACUAAUGAACCGUGAGGCUUAACCUU
rnacentral:rRNA from 1 species